AUCUACCGUCAUACUACCCUGAACGCAAGAGAUCUCUUCUGAUCUCGGAAGUUAAGCAGAAUAGAGAUACCACCUUACACUAAUCAGAAUAGACA
rnacentral:rRNA from 1 species